rnacentral:rRNA from 1 species
UGGGGAAUUUUGGACAAUGGGGGCAACCCUGAUCCAGCCAUGCCGCGUGAGUGAAGAAGACCUUCGGGUUGUAAAGCUCCUUCGGCGGGGACGAAACGGUCCGUGACAACACCACGGACUAAUGACAGUACUCGCAGAAGAAGCACCGGCUAACUACGUGCCAGCAGCCGCGGUAAUACGUAGGGUGCAGGCGUUAAUCGGAAUUACUGGGCGUAAAGCGUGCGCAGGCGGCUCCUUAAGUCAGAUGUGAAAUCCCCGGGCUUAACCUGGGAACUGCGUUUGAAACUGAGGGGCUAGAGUGUGGAAGAGGGGGGUGGAAUUCCAGGUGUAGCAGUGAAAUGCGUAGAGAUCUGGAGGAACACCGAUGGCGAAGGCAGCCCCCUGGGCUAACACUGACGCUCAUGCACGAAAGCGUGGGGAGCAAACAGGAUUAGAUACCCCAGUAGUCCCUGAGCGGGCUGGCAAGGCGCAU